rnacentral:rRNA from 1 species
CUGAUACAGGGCUCUUUAGGGUCUUGUAAUUGGAAUGAGUACAAUUUAAAUCCCUUAACGAGGAACAAUUGGAGGGCAAGUCUGGUGCCAGCAGCCGCGGUAAUUCCAGCUCCAAUAGCGUAUAUUAAAGUUGUUGUGGUUAAAAAGCUCGUAGUUGAACCUUGGCCUCGGCCGGCCGGUCCGCCUCACCGCGUGCACUGGCUCGGCCGGGGCUUUCCCUCUGUGGAACCCCAUGCCCUUCACUGGGCGUGGCGGGGAAACAGGACUUUUACUUUGAAAAAAUUAGAGUGCUUCAGGCAGGCCUAUGCUCGAAUACAUUAGCAUGGAAUAAUAAAAUAGGACGUGCGGUUCUAUUUUGUUGGUUUCUAGGACCGCCGUAAUGAUUAAUAGGGACAGUCGGGGGCAUCAGUAUUCAAUUGUCAGAGGUGAAAUUCUUGGAUUUAUUGAAGACUAACUACUGCGAAAGCAUUUGCCAAGGAUGUUUUCAUUAAUCAGGAACGAAAGUUAGGGGAUCGAAGACGAUCAGAUACCGUCGUAGUCUUAACCAUAAACUAUGCCGACUAGGGAUCGGACGGUGUUAUUCUUUGACCCGUUCGGCACCUUACGAGAAAUCAAAGUGCUUGGGCUCCAGGGGGGAGUAUGGUCGCAAGGCUGAAACUUAAAGAAAAUUGACGGAAGGGCACCACCAGGGGUGGAGCCUGCGGCUUAAUUUGACUCAACACGGGGAAA